AAAGGGAUCAAGAGUAGAGGGGCGAUGACAUUAGAGAAGCUGGUCCAAGAGUUUGUGUGUUCUGUUGGUUUCAGUAAGAAGCUAUUGAAUUUUAAACAGAGUAGCAGCAUGACCUCAUAUAUACUUACAAAAAAUAAUGAAUAAGUUGAGAGACAGAAGGACUAACUUUAUAAAAGCUGACUCUUCAACUGAGUUUUGAAAACAUUUCUGCUGCUUCAUCAUCAUUUAUUACAUUGCUCUUUUCCACAAUAUGAGGGAAGGAAGUUCUGCCUUGUAGUCUUUAGUCAUAACUAUUUUUUCCAGGCCACUUGGUGGACUUUGUUUGGGCAGGGAUCUUGGUGUCUGGAGAGGAUAGACUGGGGGACUGGGAUGGUGAAUUAAGAGUGGAUGAGUAGGUUGCACUUAAUAGGGAAUAAGUUAGGCAUGCCAAUUUAGCUAAAGUGAAAAAGAAAAGAAAAAUUAUCACGUGUAAAAUUUCCUUCAAUAAAUGAAAUGUGCUCAACUGAUUUCUCAUCCCAUCUCACUAAUAUUAUCAAAACUAAAGGUUGAUAUCUUCUUUUAAGGACAUUGAUUAGCUACCUGCCUAUGACUUUUUUGAAGCGCCAUCAAUGCAAAUCUAGUGGGGCAGAAAGAUACAAGUUCAAAGCACCAGAGGAUAAUAUUUUCAACUGUGUCUGCAUUGUUUAAUGAGACAAUGAAUUCAGUGGACUUCAAAUGUGUCAUGUCUUGUAAAUCACUGGGUUAUUAACUUUAACAGGGUGAGUGGAUGUACUGUUCCCAUCUCCAUUUCACAGCAUUAGUACUCUAGAUAAUAGGGAACGUGGGGUAAUAAUCCUUACAUUAUUGGCUUAUACUUGUAGAGUGACCCUUUUAAAUAUGAGGGAUUUGGAAGUAAAGUGCAUUUCUUUGCAUGAGAAAAAGAGGAAAAAUAUGAAAAUUUAGAUUUAAAAAACCUAAAUUUUAAUUUUCUCUUUAUUUUUAGACAUGAUGUGAAUUGGAUGGCAAAUUAAAAUUUGCGUUUAUGGGCACAAGUUCUUAUUCAAUUUUGCUUAUUUUGCUAAUCUUUGGUAGUUUUAUGGGUUUUAAUUUCAGUGUAAUAGCAAGAAAAACAGUGCAAUUGCUGUGCUCUAUGAUUUACAAUGUGCAUUUAAGCUAUUUCUUGGUGGAAUUGCCACGAAGUUAUAUGUUCUCUAAUAUUGCUCUAGUGGUCGCAAAGAGUUAAUGUAUCCUAAUGCCUUAGUGAUUAGUGUCCAUUUGCUUGGGUAAUUUGUUUCUACACAGGUCAGUAUAUUUCAAAAUUAUUUCACAUUGAUAAUAGCUUGGCUGGUUUGGGGUAUGACCAGAUUUUGCAUUUCAGGGACUCAUUGAUGUAUCAAGAGGCUGCAACUGUCAUAAUUAAGAAGAAAAGACAUUUAAGCCACCAUAGGCACAAGAUACUGCUGUGAUAAAUUGAACCUACAAAAUGAAGUGAAUGGCCAUUAUGCAUAUGCAAUCUUGUUUUACUUAGUUUCUCUUCAUUGGUUGGGCAUGAAUCUAGCCUUAGGCACCAGGCUGAGGAAGCAUUAGUACUCAAUUGCCAAAUGGCCUAGGUUUAAGAUUCCCAUCCACUCAUAGAUUGGUUUGUGAGCUUUAUCAAGCAGGACGGUAUGAAUAGGUAAGGAAACACUUUUGCCUUUUCUCUUGACUAAAUUAAUUACAUCUUAAUGACAAAGUUUCUGCUUAUGAGUCACAGUUGUCAUUGAGCUGUUCUGCUAGUUAAAAUCAUGUGAAUUUUCUGCCUAUCAUCUUAAAAAACGGUAAUUUCUAUACCAUUAUUGGAAUCAGAAAGAAAAGGAAUGUAAAAUAAAACAGAUGAAGAUUAAUAUGAUAGUUUCUCAAUUUUUGUGGAAUGAACCAAUCUUGGUAACUUUGUGCUAUGAGUUCUUACUUGUCUAUGCUAAUUGGAAUGAGAAGGGAAAGAAAAGCUCCCUGCCCUUUUGUUCCUCCUGGAUUUAAAAUCACCGAACAGAUGCCGUGAUAUAAACCUGCAUUUAAGUCCCUUAUAUUUUUCUUUAUAGACACAAUUGUGAAUUGUGUUCUUCCUGCAUUUGUAAUUAGAAGGUGAAACAGAUGGCAAAGGAUCAGUGUAAAGAGAUGUCCAUUAAAAUAACUUAUGUUGCCAAGUGAUUGUUCACUUUAAGUGGGGAACUCAAUUUCCACCAUGCAAAAGAAAAAAGUGGCACAUGCACAUCUUGAAGGAACUCCGUUAUGUGGGGCAAAUAACACAGGAGCUGGACUAUACUUUGAAAAUACUAAAAAUAUAGACAUAUAAACAACUACCUUUUUAAAAAAACAAAUAAGCAUUGUUGGAGAUGAGAAUUGAGGUCAGUUGGAAGCCCUUCAAGGUACAAUUUAAUGUACUAAUCUUAUCUUCUCCUAAGCCUGCUGUAGAUAUACAGGAAAUGUGUGGUAUAUUUUUUUCUCUCCGAAAUUUUAGCCAUUAAUAUAGAAGCAAAUGUAGCAUUACUAGGAGUGAUUUGAGAUACAUCCCUCUGUGUAUUAAAUAUAUAUUUAGGAAGGAACCAUAGUUAAGACGUUUUCAGCUCUCACAUGAAGUAGCACAACAUAGUGGUUAAGAAUGAGGAUUCUGGAGUUAGCUCCUCAGGGUUUGAAUUGUAUCUGCCAUUUACCCUUUCAGUGAUGUUGGGGAAAUUCUCUAACAAUUUCGUGCUUCAAUUCCUUAGUGUGUCAAGUUGGAAUAACUAAAAAUGCUAAUCUCAAUGGUUUGUUGUGCCCAACAAAUGUAUUGAAAUUUUAUUAUUAAAUAAAUAACACCUUCAUGACCAGAAUUUAAUGUAACAUCAUCUAAAUAUUUUAUUUUUAAUCUUUUCUUUUUUACAAAAAACCUUUAAUAAACCAUUUGUUUCCAAAAAGAAGGAAACUACAGUUUUUCUGCCCAAAAAAGUGGACUUUUUAAAAUUUUAAAAUUUAAUUUAUUUGCCUACAAUUUAAGACAGAUCUGUACAUAACUGUAAGUCUCGAGUUCUAAGCUUGGAAAAAUUCCUUGUCUGGUGCUUGUGUUUUUGACAGCUUUUCCUGUCCACUCAGAGCUGAAGAAUUUAAUAUAUAAAACUGUUAUCAACAUGAAACGUACACAGUGAUGUACUCGCAUGAAGGAAACUAUGCAGCUAUUAGCUCAGUAUGUGAGAAUUUUCAAUUUGAGUGACAUAAAUCUGUAUGUUUCCCUAUCUACCAAUAUAAACGUAUUUUUUAUGCCUUUAUGUUGGCAUGGUUCUGGGCACUGCAUUUUUAAGAUUGACUCAGAUUCUGCUCACAGGGAGCUUGUUUUUACAGGAUGGACACCUUUGUCUUUUCAGCCCUGUUCUUUCUGCACAGGAAAGGAGAAAAAAAUAGCUAAAGACCUCUUGGGCCAUCUGUGAGAUUAGUAGAACCUGUAAAUCCUAGGUUUACUCAAUCUCUAGAACUGCAACCAAAAUUUGAAUAUUGUGUCAGCUUCAUGUGUAACCUUGGUUGCCUUCACUUUGAAAGUAAGAUUGCAGCUCUUUAUCAUAGAGUUGUUAGGAAGAGUACUUGCAUUGGUCUAGUGUAGUUUCUAGAAAAUAUUUGAUAGUCAAUAAACAAAUUGAAUUACUCCCCCCCUCUUUUUUAAGAUCCCACCUCAAAUAACUUCAGUGCACUCUAUUCAAGAUACUAUUUGAAGUCUAAUGCCAAAGCUGUGUACUUCUUUAUGUUAAUAUUUGGUAAUAGAUGUUCCAAAUCCCAAAGAUUUAUAUCUAGACAUAAGGGCAUAAACUGAUAUAUUAAACAUCAAUAGCAAAAUAGGAAUAAUAAUAGCUACCAUUUACAUAGCACUUCUGGUGUGCCAGGCAAUGCUGUCCUAAGCACUGUCCAUAUGUUCACUCACUUAAUCCUCACAACAGUCCUAUGAAGUUGUUGUUAUUAUUUUUCCUCAGGCUCAGGGAGAUUAAAACCUUCCCAAGGUCACACAGUUAGUAUUGAUGAAGUUGGAAUUUAAACUUAGCAGUUAGCAUUUGCAUUGAUGCACUCAAGCACUACAUCUUGAAACUAGAAGGAUUUCAUAAAGUCGGAAACAGGGAAAACACUGUACCAUAUAAUUUUUUUAUUGUUAUUUCCCUAACACAUUUUUUUUCCCACUGUACAGCAUGGGGACCCAGUUACACAUACAUGAAUACAUUCUUUUUUCUCCCAUUAUCAUGUUCCAUCAUAAGUGACUAGACAUAGUUCCCAGUGCUAUACAGCAGGAUCUCAUUGCUUAUCCAUUCCAAGAGCAAUAGUUUUCAUCCGUUAACACCAAGAUCUCAAUCCAUCCCACUCCCUUGCCCUCCCCCUGGGAAACCACAAGUCUAAUCUCCAAGUCCAUGAUUUUCUUUUCUGCAGAAAGUUCAUUUGUGCUGUAUAUUAGAUAUCCGAUAUAAGUGAUAUCAUAUGGUAUUUGUCUUUCUCUUUCUGACUUAAACUUCACUCAGUAUGAGAGUCUCUAGUUCCAUCCAUGUUGCUGCAAAUGGCAUUAUUUUGUUCUUUUUAUGGCUUAGUAGUAUUCCAUUAUGCACCUAUACCACAUCUUCCUAAUCCAUUUAUCUGUUGAUGGACAUUUGAGUUCUUUCCAUGGCUUGGCCAUUGUGAAUAGUGCUGCAAUGAAUAUGCAGGUGCAUGUGUCUUUUUAAGGAAAGUUUUGUCCAGAUAUAUUCGCAAGAAUGGGAUUGCUGGGUCAUAUGGUAGUUCUAUGUAAAGAUUUCUAAGGUAUCUCCAUACUGUUCUCCACAGUGGUUGUACCAGCUUACAUUCCCACCAACAGUGCAGGAAGGUUCCUUUUCUCCUCACCCCCUCCAGCAUAUUUGACUCAAGGCCUUAGACUGUACAAUACGAACAACAAAAAAUGAAAAAUAUAAAGCAUCUUUCUAUGUGGACGAUAUUGUUCUCUACAUAGAAAAAUGCAAUGUUACUGACAAAUUAUAAGAAGUACUAAAAUAGAGUAAUAAAACAAUCUUACAAAAAUCACAAGUACAAAAAUCAUUUUUACAAAUAGCAAUUGAUUAAAACAUGAAAGAAAAUAUUUCCAUUCAAAAGUAGAAUAUAAAUUUUAAAGUCAUAAGCAUUAACCUAGUAUAAUGUUUGCACAGGCUGUAUGCUGAAAUAUAAAACUUUAAAGCUAGACCUAAAAGAACAUCUGAAUGAAUAAAUACAUCAUGUUUAUGGAUGUAAAAUCUCAAUCUUGUAAAAUUUUAAUUUCAAAAUAAUCCUUAAAGUCUGAAUAUAAUAGUAAUGAAAUUUCUAACAGGAUUUUUAAUGAACAUGAAGGCCAAUUCUAAAAUUCAUGGGAAAAGAAAAUAGAGAAUAGUGAAAACAGUCUUGAAGAACGAUAACAGAUGUCCUAUCAGAUAAUCAAGAUGUAAUUGAAAAACGUAGUAAAUAAUAAGUUGAAAUAUAUAAUAGGACCAAAAGCGGUAUCUAGAAAUGGACAUAUAGAAUUUUAUUCUGGCUGCAGUAUGCAGUGGCUUGCUGUGGGAUCUCAUUUCCCAAACCAGAGAAUGAACCUGGGGCCACAGCAAAGAAAAUGCCAAAUCCUAAUCACUACACCACCAGGAAACUCCCUGGAUGUAUAGAAAUUUAAUAUACCAAAAAUAUCUUUUCAGAUCAGUUAAUAAAAUAUAAACUAUUUAAUAAAAUGGAGUUAGUAUAAUUUUCUAUCACCAAAAAAUAAUUCUUUGAUUUCUGUCUCUAAAGAUUCACAAAAAUGUGUCCCAGACAGACCAAAGGCCAACCUAUAAAAGCAAAAACAACAAAAAUGAAAAGCAUGUGAAUAUAAGAAAAUGUCUCUGUGAACUUAGAGCAAGAUAAUUUUUUUUAAAAAUUACAAGAAAACACAAAAAUUUGAUAAAUUUGGUCAUAGCAAAACAACAUUUCUAAAGAAAAAAGACACUGUAAAGUCAGAAUAAGAGGCAAGCUGGUAGAAAACAUUACAGCAUGCAACAUAUAAGUUUAGCAAGUAUUUAACAUAAAAAAUAAAGCAUAUAAACAAUCAAAAACCAGAUGAGAAGAAUAAGAUGAUAGCCAGAUGAAAAUAUCAAUUCUACUUACUUGCAAUU
rnacentral:lncRNA from 1 species